rnacentral:lncRNA from 13 species
AGGACAGUUGCAAAAGGGAAAAAAAAUAAAAACCAAAAAAAAACCACGCAAAACCAGAUCACACACAGAGUGACAAAAAUCCACCUGUUGCAUUUCCAGCUCCCUUGCCGUCGGAGGGCGGUGCGGGCACGUCUCUCGGCGAGUGUGCACAGCGCUGCGCGCCGCGGGGGUGGUCGGGGCGGUCGCCCCCCGCCCUGGAGACCGGCCGGCCUUUGCACUCCGUCGUACUGCCACGGACUGCGCCCCGGCGGAGCGGGUGUCCGACGGGGGAGCCCCGGGCCGCGGGAAAGGGCGCUGCGCUCCUCGGCCGGCGGAGGAGCUCUUCUUCCUCUUCCUCCUCCUCAGCAGAAAGGCGGCCCUCUCCGCACCUCGCCGCCACCGCGGCCCUUCAGAGACUGGCGUUCAUCAUCUGCGGACAAAGUUAGUUUCCCGAUGUCUGUGGAGAUGCUGAAGUUAAGCUAUGCUGUACUCAAAGAAGUCCCUGGAGCCCCGUCUACCCGCCAUGUACCCGUGCCUCUCCCUCCCCUCGAUCCAAGCUUUUCCUCUCGUUUCCACCAUAGAAUGCUUCCAAUCUUUUUUUUUUUUGGUGAAUUUUUUUAUGAUAAGAAAAUCUAUUUGUAUCUAUCCUAACCCCGUUGGGGAUAUAUUAAGCUAUUUUUGUACAUAAGAGAGAGAGAGAUUUAUAGAGGUUUUGUACAAAUGGUUUAAAAUGUGUAUAUCUUGAUACUUUUUUUAAUAUGUAAUGCUUAUUACCUCUUCAUGUUUAGACUCGUAGUCAGCGUUACCUUACAACUGCCAUUUUUGUAUGUGGUUUUGUAAAGGACUUGGAUUUCCUCCAGAUGUACUUUAGCACCAAUGUGUCUUACUUUAUAGAAACUUUGUUAAUGUAUUAAUAAUGUCAUUAAACAAUGUUCAAAGUGAACAAAGUUUAUGCAGCUAUUGUCCAAACGCAAAACGGUAGCCAUUUGUUUUCAUAUGCUGCCUUUUGGGAAAAAAAAAAAAAAAAGGAAAAAAAAGAAAAACCAGAGAAGCAAACAAACAAACAAAAAAAACCCCGACACCACUGCCUUUUCUUACUGUUUUAUUAAAAACUUACAAAGGUCCUGUAUAACCCUAUUUUAUACCAACUAGUUUCGUAAUAAAACUUUUUUAAAAUUAAAAUGAUCAGCUGCCUACCGCAUGCAGUUUUUUUUUUCUUUCUGCUGUUGACAACGAUGAAUGUAAGGACAGAAUGUUAAUUGAUGUUAUACCGGAGCUAAGUUGCAUAUGAAGUGUUUGUAUGUGAUGGAUGUAACAUAUAUAUCUUUAUCUAUCUCUAUAUAAAUAUGCAAAGAUGUAGCGCUAUCACCAUUGUUUUCUUGCCCUUCUGUGUUGCAAAUGUGUAUCCAAAUCAAAAGGCGAGGGGAUGAUUAAUGCUUGCAUUGUCCUUCCUGAAAUCACUGCACAUUACAGAAUUCUCCCCAAAGUCCAACUCUUAAAAAAAGAGGGCGCUCCAUGCCGCGUUUCGGCGGUGUGACCCUGUCCUCCUCCGCGGCUCUGACCCAACGGGACAGAAAAAUACGGGGGAUGGCACAGCCGCCGCCACCCAAAACAUGGGGCGCUGUGUUGCCUCUGCGGAGGCAGUGGCUGGGUAAAUAAAACCGUCGCGGGAAAGAAGGGAAGCGAGGCGAAGGGAGAUAAAAUUAAAUAAAUAAAUUGACUAGUAGAAAUAGGUGGCAGCGUAGAGAUAUCGGUCUUUCCAAACUUGUUAUUCUGCCCAAAUAGCGUGAUCUGCCUGUAAAAGUAUCCCAUUACCAAGACUCAAAAAGAAAUUGUACUCUUCCCCCCAUUCCCCGCUUUUUUUUUUUUUUUUUUUUUUUUU